UCGGCCUGCCAGAAAUUUCACCGCUCGAAACACCGAGAACCGACGAAAACAUACCAGACGCCAGAAAGCUCUCGUGCCAUAGCACUCGCGUCCCACAAGGGGGCGCAGAAGAUGAACGCGGCGCGCGUUCCGAAUCCUGGUCACGCGGAGCCAUUUUCCUCGUGGAGACCUACGUGCCAGAACUUGAGGAGCUCGCGCCACUUCGGGUCUCGUCGCGCUGAACUUGGUCCCCCGGCAAGCUAACCGAAAGAAACCGCCACGGUGACAGUCCUCGGCGAAGCCCGAUCUAUGCGUUGGAGGCGAGAACCACGACGUGCGUCAGUUUCGCAGCCGAGGACCCACAAGAGCGCGCAUGUGCGCAUGGCGACUGCGGAUCGACCGUGGAUUUCAGAGGGCAACGACUGCAACGAGGGCUUGGUGUGUACCCUUGGGAUGACAGCAACCGCUAGACUGGCGGCGAACGGUGCCGUAGUGGUGACCCAUGGAUUUUCCGCUAGCCUUCGACAGGUUGCUUCCUCGGGUUGGGCUGUGGCUCAGGGACUGGCUUAGUCACCGGAACAGGCUCUCUUCACGUGACUGGCAGCAACUCCUGGACCUAAACUGAGUGUGCCCUCUGGUCGGUGAGGGGGCCAGGCAACUACCCUGAACGAUGAAGUGUGUACGCGUACCAGUUGCACUGAGAACACUGAAGAAGGCAUUGGCGUGCUGAUGUGCAUGCACCCCACCGGCUGACGUCCCACAUAACGGUUUCCCGGAGGACUUGAGUCAACGAAAGGAUAGACUGAUGGUUCUCAAGGCUGCUGGUGUUGGCAUGGUCGAAGAGUGCGUACAUCUUUUCGGAACACUGCUAGCAAGAACUUUUUAGGUAUACCUGCCCACAGGCAUAGUUUCACUACUCCCUAUGCCUUUGUUGUGUGUUUCUACCCAACCAGUCGGCGCCUCUACCCAGUCUUUGAAGUCCAUGUCGUGAAGGGCUGGUAGUAACUCCUUGACUCGUUGUGACCCGUGGGCUAUCUACAACCACGAGACGAGGUUCCCGACUCUGGAAACAACCGCUGUACUGGUCGUGGACUGUGGGCUGGCUGCAGCUCCGGUAUGGACUUCAAGCCUAUGAGUGGGACCAUGACCUGGUGUGGUUGCGGCCGCAAGACUAGGUAUUAUCUGGAGACUGGAAAGCGCCUCUAUACUUGCUACGGCCCUGGGAUUGUGUGUGUUGCUGAGACAAGCAGCGCCUCUUGGCUGGAAAUGACGCCUGGACUAUCUGCGACCCCAUGACGUCAUGAUAACGAUACUGGCAGGGCCCAUGGACGAAUAGCGGCCCUGAACUGACAGCGUACCCUGGACUGUCUGCAGCCCCUGAACUGGCUGAAGACCUAGCACUCUUUUGUAAUCCAAAGGCUGGCAACUACGCCCGGACUGGUGGUAGCGGCCACUGGACUGGAUCCAGGCCCGGGACUGGGUGUGGUAUCGAGACCGAUGUGAUCUGAAACCUAGCUGUGCUUCAUGACUUUCAACGACAGUGUCGCACGGUUUCACUCUGAUCCGUAGACUGACUGCGGCUCCAGAUUUCCCGUGGGCCAUAAUCUGGAUGGGAGCUCGGGACUGUCUGCGAUUCUGCCAAUGACAUUGAUUCCGGAGCUUCCGGUAAUCUCGAGAGUGGCAGAAAUUCUGGGACCGGCAGCAAUCCUUGGGUUUGCGGGGCCUCGGCACGUGCUACCGUCCUCGGAAUGACUGCAGGCUCUCGUCUGACUGCAGUUUGCGGACUCUUGGCGACCAUCGAAUGUUUGACGGGGGCUGCUGAAGCAGCCGCCGUCAAAGCCGCCGUGUUUUUCGUCAGAAUGGCGUUUUUUAUUUGGUAACUAUAGUAACUGUGCUCUUACUCACUAGGGUUUUGGAUUGGUUUUUAUUAUAGUGUUCGCAAUGCAGCAUAUACUGCCUAUCAGACUUUACUAAGGCGAUAAACUGUCUUGUGCACGUUGCCACAAUUGCAAGGAUUGUACGUAGUCACGAGGAUAUGUGGUGGGUACCUGCUGUUUUUCCCUAGCCUAAAUGUUUGCCAUCCACAUUCGAAGUGGUUCUCAUAUGACGACUGCAGCAAGUCUCAGGCUUAGUCACGCUUAGGUCACAAAGGAGCACCGUUAUAUAUCUGCACCAAACAUUAUCUUACAGGAAGCUGCCAUGUUAUGAAACUUACCGAUAUUGCCAGCAAUACUGCUACAGCUUAGGGCUUGAAGACCUUUCUUUAGUUGUUUGGUAGAUGUAUCCAACUGCAGGUCGUGAGUCGGACAUAAUAAUUUUAUAUCAAUGCAAUAGAGACUGAAUUAUCGCUUCAUGCCUUUGAGGGCAAUAUGUUGUAAGGGUACGUAUACGUCCAUUGAGGAGCUACAAGCCUUUGUCGUAGAGAAAGUGUUUGUGAAGCACUCUUUUCCUUCUCUUUCUUGCAUUGCCUUUAACGGCGGCUGGUGUCUGGGCAGGUAUACGUAAAAUUCAGUGACUGGGUGUUGCUGGCCACGUGUCUCUGAGUAUGGGCGCGCUCAUUGUGACUACAAUAUUAUGCCUACACGUCACAGAUCAUGUGAACGAAGAAAAGGCAAGAAGUGAAGUUGGUAAAAUAAAAUCGAAGUCCACUACAAUGAAGCUUUUCGCAAAGGAAAAAAACUGAGCUCAGUGCAUGUGUGAAAGAGGCCAUAGACCCAAAGAAGCGUUGAGUGGAGAAUUAAGUUAUAUAUCUAGUCUUAACACUAAUAGUGCCCUGUAUUUGUUCAAAUUACUUUGCUCUAAAUGUACCGCACCCUUGGCCAAUCCUUCAUUGUUUCUAUGUGCAAUAUUACAUAAAUAAUAAUCAUCAUCAUCGCCAUCAUCAUAAUCAUCAUCAUUACCAUCGACAAGUUUUCGUUACGUGGUGUCAGAGAGAAAUUUUAUUGUCAGGAAAGACAGAGAGGGUAACCGGAGCUGGUGCACUCUGGUCUGAUUCUCUGCAAUGGGAAAGAGGGAAGGGAAGUGCAAAGUGUCUGGAGGCAUGAUGAUGCGAAGAUAAGCUGUGAGGGCUGACGCAUAUUAGAUAGUCGGUCUACUACAGCUGCUCGUAUAGUUUCCUGCCAUGUAGGAACUUCGACAGAGUUUUAACUGUCGGCAUUUAAAUUGCAGUGUUUGAACAUGAGCCAAGAAUAACAUCCUACGCUGUGCACAAAGUAACAGGAUAGGAUUGGAAUAAACUUUAUUUGUCCAACGGUUACCA